GGUCUUUCAGUUCUGCCUAGUUCUGUGG
rnacentral:piRNA from 1 species